rfam:Fukomys damarensis contig107308, whole genome shotgun sequence.
UUGUUCUGUUCAAUUCUAUGUGGGCAGUUCUACUUUUUUUUUUCAUGGGAAAGAAGCCAAUGUCAUUCAGCCAAAAUACAAAAGCCAAGAUGGUAUCUUACUAUUGACCCAAUGAA